rnacentral:SRP_RNA from 1 species
ACAGACCCCUCGUGCGGCGUCACCCCACCGAACCCCCCCAGGGCCGGAAGGCAGCAAGGGUAGGUGGGCUCUGGCGGGUGCACGAGGGGUCCUUGUC